AACGCACAUUGCGCCCGCCAGUAUUCUGGCGGGCAUGCCUGUUCGAGCGUCAUUUCAACCCUCAAGCCCCCGGGCUUGGUGUUGGGGAUCGGCACAAGGCCCCUCGCGGCCCGCCGUCCCCCAAAUGCAGUGGCGGUCACGUCGCAGCCUUCUAUGCGUAGUAGCAACACCUCGCACUGGAGCGCGACGCGGCCACGCCGUAAAACCCCCGACUUUUUUCUGGUUGACCUCGAAUCAGGUAGGACUACCCGCUGAACUUAA
rnacentral:misc_RNA from 1 species